rnacentral:rRNA from 1 species
AACGCGAAGAACCUUACCCAGGCUUGACAUGCAGAGGACAGUCCUAGAAAUAGGAUCUCCCUUCGGGGCCUUUGCACAGGUGCUGCAUGGCUGUCGUCAGCUCGUGCCGUGAGGUGUUGGGUUAAGUCCCGCAACGAGCGCAACCCUUAUCGUUAGUUGCCAUCAUUUUAGUUGGGAACUCUAACGAGACUGCCUGGGUUAACCAGGAGGAAGGUGAGGAUGACGUCAAGUCCGCAUGGCCCUUAUGUCUGGGGCUACACACGUGCUACAAUGGCCGGUACAGAAGGAAGCGAAACCGCGAGGCGAAGCAAAUCCCAAAAGCCGGCCCCAGUUCAGAUUGCAGUCUGCAACUCGACUGCAUGAAGAUGGAAUUGCUAGUAAUGGCGGGUCAGCUACACCGCCGUGAAUACGUUCCCGGGCCUUGUACACACCGGUACUA